CAUUUCCAAUCCAACUUGUAAAGGAAGAAAUAAAAAUGGGGAUAAUGGCAGUAUUGAC
rnacentral:sRNA from 14 species